GAUGAACGCUGGCGGCGUGCCUAAUACAUGCAAGUCGAGCGAACAGACGAGGAGCUUGCUCCUCUGACGUUAGCGGCGGACGGGUGAGUAACACGUGGAUAACCUACCUAUAAGACUGGGAUAACUUCGGGAAACCGGAGCUAAUACCGGAUAAUAUAUUGAACCGCAGGGUUCAAUAGUGAAAGACGGUUUUGCUGUCACUUAUAGAUGGAUCCGCGCCGCAUUAGCUAGUUGGUAAGGUAACGGCUUACCAAGGCAACGAUGCGUAGCCGACCUGAGAGGGUGAUCGGCCACACGGGAACUGAGACACGGUCCAGACUCCUACGGGAGGCAGCAGUAGGGAAUCUUCCGCAAUGGGCGAAAGCUUGGCGGAGCAACGCCGCGUGAGUGAUGAAGGUCUUCGGAUCGUAAAGCUCUGUUAUUAGGGAAGAACAAAUGUGUAAGUAACUAUGCACGUCUUGACGGUACCUAAUCAGAAAGCCACGGCUAACUACGUG
rnacentral:rRNA from 1 species